AGGCAACUGUCCUGUGAUGUCAGCGG
rnacentral:piRNA from 1 species